rnacentral:rRNA from 1 species
AUGCAAGUCGAGCGGGGUUUUCGGACCUAGCGGCGGACGGGUGAGUAAUGCGUAGGAAGCUACCCGAUAGAGGGGGAUACCAGUUGGAAACGACUGUUAAUACCGCAUAAUGUCUACGGACCAAAGUGUGGGACCUUCGGGCCACAUGCUAUCGGAUGCGCCUACGUGGGAUUAGCUAGUUGGUGAGGUAAUGGCUCACCAAGGCGACGAUCUCUAGCUGGUUUGAGAGGAUGAUCAGCCACACUGGAACUGAGACACGGUCCAGACUCC